AUGAAUGGAUACUCUGAGAUAGAACGAGAAAAAGCAAAUUUGAUUAAUGCUACUUCUAUUAGUUUGGAACAAUUGGAAAAGUCUAAAAACGAAACCCUUUAUUUUGAAAAACAAAGGGCAAUGAAUCAGGUCCGACAGCGGGUUUUCCAACAGGCCGUACAAGGAGCUCUAGGAACUCUGAAUAGUUGUUUGAAUACCGAGUUACAUUUCCGUACGAUUCGUGCUAAUAUUGGCAUUCUCGGGUCCCUGAAUGGAAGAGAUAAUUAA
rnacentral:rRNA from 1 species